AGUGAAUAGAUACCCAGGUAGUCCCAGCUGUAAACGAUGCGCGUUAGGUGUAUCGGUGACCACGAGUUACCGAGGUGCCGAAAGGGAAACCGUGAAACGCGCCGCCUGGGAAGUACGGUCGCAAGGCUGAAACUUAAAGGAAUUGGCGGGGGAGCACUACGGCGGGUGGAGCCUGCGGUUUAAUNCGGACUCAACGCCGGGAAGCUCACCGGAUAAGACAGCUGGAUGAUAGCCGGGCUGAAGACUCUGCUUGACUAGCUGAGAGGAGGUGCAUGGCCGUCGUCAGUUCGUACUGUGAAGCAUCCUGUUAAGUCAGGCAACGAGCGAGACCCACGCCAACAGUUGCCAGCUUGUCCUCAGGGAUGAAGGGGACACUGUUGGGACCGCCUCUGCUAAAGAGGAGGAAGGAAUGGGCAACGGUAGGUCAGCAUGCCCCGAAUUAUCCGGGCUACACGCGGGCUACAAUGGCCAGGACAAUGGGAAUCGACACCGAAAGGUGAAGGCAAUCUCCUAAACCUGGUCUUAGUUCGGAUUGU
rnacentral:rRNA from 1 species